UAGGGAGGGAGUAACUAGUGACAGAGUGAGGGAGUGGGUGACACAGUGACAGAGUUAGGGAGGGAGUGACUAGUGACAGAGAGAGGGAUGGGGUGACUAGUGACAGUCACCACCUCCCUCACUCUGUCACUAGUCACCACCUCCCUCCGUCACUGUGUCACCCCCUCCCUCACUCUGUCACCAGUCAUCCCCUUACUCUGUCACUAGUCACCCCUCCCUUCCC